GAUGAACGCUAGCGGCAGGCCUAACACAUGCCAGUCGAGGGAGAAGCCCUUUCGGGGGCAGAAACCGGCGCACGGGUGCGUAACGCGUAUGCAACCUACCUUUCACAGGGGGAUAGCCCGAAGAAAUUUGGAUUAAUACCCCAUAAUAUUAUUGGAUGGCAUCAUUUGAUAAUUAAAACUGCGGUGGUGAAGGAUGGGCAUGCGUCCUAUUAGCUAGUUGGAGUGGUAACGGCACCCCAAGGCUACGAUAGGUAGGGGUCCUGAGAGGGAGAUCCCCCACACUGGGACUGAGACAGGGACCAGACUCCUACGGGAGGCAGCAGUGAGGAAGAUUGGUCAAUGGUCGGAAGACUGAACCAGCCAUGCCGCGUGCAGGAAGAAUGCCUUAUGGGUUGUAAACUGCUUUUAUAUGGGAAGAAUAAGGCGUACGUGUACGUUGAUGACGGUACCAUAUGAAUAAGCAUCGGCUAACUCCGUG
rnacentral:rRNA from 1 species